rnacentral:rRNA from 1 species
UACGAAGGGGGCUAGCGUUGCUCGGAAUUACUGGGCGUAAAGCGCACGUAGGCGGGUUGUUAAGUCGGGGGUGAAAUCCUGGAGCUCAACUCCAGAACUGCCUUCGAAACUGGCGAUCUUGAGUCCGGGAGAGGUGAGUGGAAUUGCGAGUGUAGAGGUGAAAUGCGUAGAUAUUGGGAAGAACACCAGUGGCGAAGGCGGCUCACUGGCCCGAUACUGACGCUGAGGCACGAAAGCGUGGGGAGCAAACAGG